GACGAACGCUGGCGGCGUGCUUAACACAUGCAAGUCGAACGGAAAGGCCUCUUUCGGGGGGUACUCGAGUGGCGAACGGGUGAGUAACACGUGAGUAACCUGCCCUUGACUUUGGGAUAACUUCAGGAAACUGGGGCUAAUACCGGAUAGGAGCUCCUGCUGCAUGGUGGGGGUUGGAAAGUUUCGGCGGUUGGGGAUGGACUCGCGGCUUAUCAGCUUGUUGGUGGGGUAGUGGCUUACCAAGGCUUUGACGGGUAGCCGGCCUGAGAGGGUGACCGGCCACAUUGGGACUGAGAUACGGCCCAGACUCCUACGGGAGGCAGCAGUGGGGAAGACUGCACAAUGGGUGGAAGCCUGAUGCAGCAACGCCGUGUGCGGGAUGACGGCCUUCGGGUUGUAAACCGCUUUCGCUCAUGACGAAGCUUUGUGUGACGGUAGUGGGUAAAGAAGCACCGGCUAACUACGUG
rnacentral:rRNA from 1 species